rnacentral:sRNA from 1 species
GCUGGGCGCAGUAGCAUAUGCCUGUAAUCCCAGCAGCUUGGGAGGCUGAGGCAGGAGGAUUUCAAGUUCAAAGCCAGCCUCAGCAAAAGUGAGGUGCUAAGCAACUCAGUGAGACCCUGUCUCUA